rnacentral:rRNA from 1 species
GACGAACGCUGGCGGCGUGCUUAACACAUGCAAGUCGAACGGAAAGGUCCUGCUUUUGUGGGGUGCUCGAGUGGCGAACGGGUGAGUAACACGUGAGUAACCUGCCCUUGACUUUGGGAUAACUUCAGGAAACUGGGGCUAAUACCGGAUAGGAGCUCCUGCUGCAUGGUGGGGGUUGGAAAGUUUCGGCGGUUGGGGAUGGACUCGCGGCUUAUCAGCUUGUUGGUGGGGUAGUGGCUUACCAAGGCUUUGACGGGUAGCCGGCCUGAGGGGGUGACCGGCCACAUUGGGACUGAGAUACGGCCCAGACUCCUACGGGAGGCAGCAGUGGGGAAUAUUGCACAAUGGGCGGAAGCCUGAUGCAGCAACGCCGCGUGCGGGAUGACGGCCUUCGGGUUGUAAACCGCUUUCGCCUGUGACGAAGCGUGAGUGACGGUAAUGGGUAAAGAAGCACCGGCUAACUACGUG